GGGGGCGUGGUCAGCGGCUGUUGUUACUGCGGCUUCAUCCAAAGAGAAAAGAGACACUGAGCGAAACAGGGCGACACUCUCCUCACAAUAGUUGUGUUUUUGGUCAGUAAGCGGAUAUUUUGUGACAGCACGCAGCCGAGCCGAUGUUGGCCAUUGUUCUAAACAGGACGGUAUGUGAGCUGAGAGAGGAUGAGCUGAGUCCUGAUGAUCCAGAGGUUGAAUCAGCAGCAGCUUGUGUGUAGAGAGACUCUGACUGGACCAUGUUACUGGGAGGUGGAGUCAAGAGGAGAGCUUCAUCCACAUGUUUCUCCAUGUCAGACCAGUGGUGUAGUCUAUGUGAUACGCAGCGUUCACUUUUGGACCAUGGGGGCUUCCGUCAAGCGUGACGUGGACCCGACGUUAACUACUAAGGAAGCAGUGAAGUUGUGCGGCGGGAACGAGUCGACAACUUGAACUGGUCCAACGCUCGUCAGUGGAGAAGGAAUGUGGAGAAAAAACAAUGAGAAGAAAGAAAAGGAAGCCCAGUGACACUAUUUGAGAUGGUAGGGGAGGAGAGCUGAUGACGCUGUCGUCCUACCUGGUUGUGUAUCUGCACUGCAACAAAAUCCACUGGCGUCCUCACAAAGGAAAGGGCGUCUACAUCUGAGGAGUGGGUGUCCUUUAAAAUCCAGUCCUCAGACACAAACCACAAACAGCUCUAGGUCCUUUUUCUUUACUUGAAACUUAUUUGUCUUGUCACUGUCUGUUCAGUGGUUAAUUAAAGUCCAGCUGUUCAUGUCUGUUAUACAUCUUGUGUUGCUUCCAAUACAUUUACAUUCAGAUAAUACAUAACCAGUCCUUCAUGACCUCAGUUAUGUGUGGAUCCAGACUUUAUGCAUUAAUGAGCCUGGUGGUUCUUGUGUGGGGCCGUUUUGGAGCAGCUGCUGCUCUGGGAGGGGGGCUGCAGGACAGAUGUUGCUCCAGGACGGGGGUGUACGAGGCUGGGAGGGGAACAGUCAGAGUAUACCCACUAGAAUAAACUAGACUACACCACUGUUUAAGACCAUCAACAGAACUGUAACUAAUCUGAUCUAAUAGUACCAACACAUGAAGUCCAGUUCCUCUUGAAUUAUUCAGACACAUUAAAAACAAAAACAAAUAUCCUGUUUAAAAGUUUCCAACAUCAACAAUCCUUCCUUUUCUUUCUUGAUAAUAAUUAUGGAAAAAAUGGAGCGAUACAAAUAAAACUAAUCUCAGUCUCUGCCCAAAUUCAGUAUGUUUAUCCCAUCUAGUGGCCACAAAGUGUAACUACAGUGCGAUGAGUGUAAAGCAGAGCUAUAGAGUAAAACAAAACAAAGUUUUACUCUAUAGCUCUGGAAACAACCUGAAGAAUUCAGAUGUGAAGCAGCUUCUUGAUCUUGUGAAGAGUCCAGACUGUAGACUGGAGACUCUGAGGUGAGUGGAGGGUUGGAGUCAGUUCAUACUUAACACACAUAAUACCACUCCUAACAAAAGAAAGACACACAGGAAUAUAGUAAACCUGCCAGCAUCAACAGUCCUUUCUGAUGUUUCUCAUUGUUCAUAUUCUCACGUCUGUCUUCGCUUGUUUGUCUCCGUUCAGUAGAUUCCAGCGUCUUAGAACAGUUGUUUUCAUCAAAUCAUCAUUUCAGAAGCUUUAACCUGCAGAUGAUUAAAGAUGAUUCAUUAAUGUUCAGCAGCCCAGAGUCAUUUUUUAGAGUUGGUUUUUGGUUGUUUGUGUUUUUCGAGGAAAUUUUGGUAAAUAACAGAUUAUGUUUUAGGAAAUUAUGAGUCAGAGUUCAAUGAAAUGACCUGGAAAACAGAUUACUUGUAAAAUAAAGUGUCAGAAUAAAUAUAGUUAAUUCAAAAUAAAAAAUCUUUGAUAUUUCCUUUGGUACAAACUCCAAUAAAAAAUGUGGAAAC